rnacentral:rRNA from 1 species
GUGUCAGCAGCCGCGGUAAUACGAAGGGAGCUAGCGUUGUUCGGAAUCACUGGGCGUAAAGCGCACGUAGGCGGACUUGUCAGUCAGGGGUGAAAUCCCGGGGCUCAACCUCGGAACUGCCUCUGAUACAGCAAGUCUUGAGUCCGGAAGAGGUGGGUGGAAUUCCUAGUGUAGAGGUGAAAUUCGUAGAUAUUAGGAAGAACACCGGUGGCGAAGGCGGCCCACUGGUCCGGUACUGACGCUGAGGUGCGAAAGCGUGGGGAGCAAACAGGAUUAGAAACCCCUGUAGUCC